GAUGAACGCUAGCGGCAGGCCUAAUACAUGCAAGUCGAACGAGAUUACGAGGCUUGCUUCUUAUGAAAGUUGCGCACGGGUGCGUAACGCGUAUGCAACCUACCUUAAUCAGGGGGAUAGCCCGAAUAAAUUCGGAUUAAGACCUCAUAAAAACACAGUAUAGCCUUAUCCAUUGUUCAAAUAUUUAUAGGUUUAAGAUGGGCAUGCGUGUCAUUAGCUAGUUGGCGGGGUAACGGCACACCAAGGCGACGAUGACUAGGGGAUCUGAGAGGAUGACCCCCCACAAUGGUACUGAGACACGGACCAGACGCCUACGGGAGGGAGCGGUAAGGAAGAUUGGUCGAUGGAGGGAGCUCUGAAACAGCCAUGCCGGGUGCAGGAAGACAGCCCUCUGGGUCGUAAACUGCUUUUAUUCGGGAAUAAACCUUUCUACGUGUAGGAAGCUGAAUGUACCGAAGGAAUAAGGAUCGGCUAACUCCGUG
rnacentral:rRNA from 1 species